GACGAACGCUGGCGGCGUGCUUAACACAUGCAAGUCGAGCGAUGAAGCACCUUCGGGUGUGAAUUAGCGGCGAACGGGUGAGGAACACGUGAAGAAUCUGCCUUCAACUCUGGGAUAACUCCGGGAAACCGGGGCUAAUACCGGAUAUGAGCCUUGAUCGCAUGAUCGGGGCUGGAAAGUUUUUCGGUUGAAGAUGACUUCGCGGCCUAUCAGCUUGUUGGUGAGGUAAUGGCUCACCAAGGGGACGACGGGUAGCCGGCCUGAGAGGGCGACCGGCCACACUGGGACUGAGACACGGCCCAGACUCCUACGGGAGGAGGCAGUGGGGAAUAUUGGGCAAUGGAGGAAACUCUGACCCAGCGACGCCGCGUGAGGGAUGAAGGCCUUCGGGUUGUAAACCUCUUUCAGUAGGGAAGAAGCGAAAGUGACGGUACCUACAGAAGAAGCACCGGCUAACUAUGUGCCAGCCGCCGCAGUAA
rnacentral:rRNA from 1 species